rnacentral:ncRNA from 2 species
CUAAAUUUGCACCGCAAUGGUUCACAAAGAGUUCACAACCACUCCGCGUGAUUAAAUGGGAAUGCCGUGAAAUUCGGCAGCAGUUCCCGCUGCUGUAAGUUCCUCAAUGGGCGCAAUACUCUUUGCCACUGGUCCUUGGGACCGGGAAGGCAUUGCGUUCGGAACAAGCCAGAAGACCUGCCUUGCAUCCUUCGGAAGA